GUGACCCAUUUCAAUGUUUUCUGUUUCUGUCACCUAUUAUUUUACAUGGGUCAUUCCAGGAGUAGCUCCCUGUCCCUCAGUCCAGCCCAAAGACACCAGGACACUCAUCACUUCAGGACCCUGCCAAUCUCUCGAGGGCCAAGGGUUGCUGUCCCAGCCUAUAAGCACCUGCAAGAGGUAGAGUCUACAGAGAUGGAGGCGGAAUCUUUAAGAGGGUUUGACACUGGGAGGGAUGGUGGUGACGACUGCCAGCGCAGCGGGUUCCAGAAUAUGCAAACCCUGUCUCGUUCCGCGUGGAAGAAAGAUUGGAGGGAGGUGCCCUACACCCGUCUGGACAGAGGACUAAAACCUGCUCCUCCCUCUCUCCGCACACGAUCGGUCCCCAUCAUCCCCUCUCUCCAGGGACACGACCGUGAGGGGGGUCACAUAGAUGAGACCAGGCAGGGGGUCUCGCAGGGAGGGGGUCUCGCUGGGCCAGGUCACAAGGCCCAAGGACCUGCCAGUGGCAGCAGCCACAACCCCCGUCACUCAACCACCUCUUCCUCUGAGACUGUACUACAAUCUGAGGCCAGACCCAGUCAUGUGCGUCCCUGCGGCGCUAAGACUGCACUGGGGUUAGGGACAAGCCCUAGCCACAUGCACCAUGGCUCCUCUGAAACUCCAGUAGGGCCAGGGGGCUCAUUCCAACACUGUGGCUUUUGUCCCUCCGGGACAGCAGCAUCCAGAUCAGGUGUUGCCAGGUUGAACAGCACGAACACUAUUAUUGCUGUGACCGUGCUGGAUUCCGAAGGAAAGAGCAUGCGAUAUACCCCCAGACUGCUAUACAGCUGUCCCGGGAGCAGGGGUCCUCAGGUAGGAGGCCAAAGGGAGGCCCAGGGGCUCGGUGAACAAUACACCCCCCCCCCCACCCCUGAUGGAUGGAGGGGCAAACUGCUUCCUGACAGCAGUGGUGAGCAGAGGUGCUGGAAUUGAUUAUGCCAAAACUUCUGCCAGCUGAUUGGACUAUAUCUUGCCGACAGGUGUGGUGAUAUUGAUGAUUUGUCGCCACAGAUGGUUUGUUUACAUAGCAGGUUAGGAUAAUUAAUGUUGGGGCAGGGAUGUGCAAAGAUGACAAAAUACAAUAAACUACAAAAUACUUAUAUUUUGAAAUGUAUUUAAUUAAAAUAAAUGUAUUUUGUAUUUUAAAAUACAGAAAUACAUUUGCAAGUUGUCGGCCCGAACAGCAACAACAUUUUCAGUAACGGUUACAGAAACAUUUUACUUGCUAUGACUGUGAUAUGUUGUUGUUUAUCUACCUUAGUUGAAUGCACUGACUGUAAGUCACUCAGGAUAAGAGUGUCUGCUAAAUGACCAAAAUAUAAAUGUAUAUGUGAAAUAAACAUACCAAAAUAAACUGCAAAGCACACUAGGUAUUACUAUUGGCCUUGUUUCGGGGCGAAGCUCAUUAGAGUAAUACUCAGCAUGCUUUCAAUUGUUCAUUUGUACAUAUACAUUUACAUUUCGUUAAUUUAUCAGAUGCUCUUAACACACCAUGUUGCCAUCAGAAUUCUGAUACCAAUGCAGGGUGAAAGGUGGCGACAAAAUUGUGAACCGCUAUAAAAAACGGUAUAGAAAAAAGUAUUUUGUCAUUUGAAAAUACAAAUUACAACAGUAUCUUGUUAAAACAUACAUUGGAGUGCAGUUCAGCCCAGUGUAAUACAAAUUACACAAAAUACACAUUUCAAAUACAUGUAACAGAAAUACUUCCCAUCUCUGGUUGCAGGUUAGGUGAAUUAACGUGGUAGGUUAUAAUUAACACAGCAGGUUUGGUGAAUUAACGUAGCAUGUUAGGUGAAUGAGGUUAAGGUUAGGAAAAGGGGUUAGGCGUAGCUACAAUGCUACAGUUGUCAACGACUGUUGUCCCUGACGUGGCCACUAGUUUGAGCUCUAGUCCUCCAUCUGGCCACAAUGGUAAAAACAUAACCAACAAUAUCUGGUGACAAAUCAUCAGUAACAUGACACCUGCAGGAAAAGAUUCUGCAAACCUGCAUCGACAACACGAGGGGAGUGGGACCACCUGCCUAACAAAUUGGACCAAUCACAGAUGGCCCAUGGUUUCUGUAAUAGAGCCACAGCAGCCUGGACUGCAGAGAGGAAUUUAUUGAUACAUUUAAGACCUUGAGUUAUUAAGAAUACACACACAGUCUAUGUGAAUAAUGCAGACGGACAUAAAGACUGGAGUGGAAGCUUGAUUUAAAAGUGUAUAAAAUAAUAUAUACAUUAUCUAUAUGGCACUAUUUAAACAACGCUUCUACUUAGAAACCAAAAUAGUGUGCCAUCGCCAUGUUGUUUCUCUAUUGUAAAGAAAUCGAAUUGUAUAUGUCAUAUAUAUAUAUGUCCUAUAGACGUAUAUAUACUGUAUAUUUGACAUGACAACGUGACUAAAUAAAGACAAUGACUACAGUGUUAAAGGGUGUGUGAUUGAU
ensembl:lncRNA